AUGAAGAUGGCGACUUGCAUUCGUAAGGUGGCCUCGGAGGAGUUUGGAGUGCCCAGGGGAAGGAGAAGCGAAGAUAAGGAUACCUGGUGGUGGAAUGAUGAUGUCCAGAAGGCGCUUAAAGAGAAGAAAGAUUGCUGCAGACGCCUAUACCUGGAUAGGAGUGCAGACAACAUAGAGAAGUACAAGAUGGCGAAGAAGGCCGCAAAGCGAGCUGUUGGUGAAGCAAGGGGUCGGGCAUAUGAGGACCUCUACCAAUGGUUAGGCACGAAGGAAGGUGAAAGGGACAUCUAUAAGAUGGCUAAGAGCCGGGAGAGGAAGACGAGGGAUAUUGGCCAAGUCAAAUGCAUCAAGGACGGAGCAGGCCAACUCUUGGUGAAGGACGAAGAGAUUAAGCAUAGAUGGCGGGAGUACUUCGACAAGCUGUUUAAUGGGGAGAAUGAGAGUUCUACCAUUGAACGGAAUGACUCCUUUGAUGAGACCAGCAUGCGUUUUGUGCGGCGCAUCCAGGAGUCUGAGGUGAAGGAGGCUUUAAAAAGGAUGAAAGGAGGCAAGGCGAUGGGCCCUGAUUGUAUCCCCAUUGAGGUGUGGAAAGGUCUCGGGGACAUAGCGAUAGUAUGGCUAACCAAGCUUUUCAACCUCAUUUUUCGGGCAAACAAGAUGCCAGAAGAAUGGAGACGGAGUAUAUUAGUACCAAUCUUCAAAAACAAGGGGGAUUUCAGAGUUGUACUAAUUACCGUGGAAUUAAGCUGA
rnacentral:rRNA from 1 species